GCAAACUUGGUCAUUUAGAGGAAGUAAAAGUCGUAACAAGGUUUCCGUAGGUGAACCUGCGGAAGGAUCAUUAACAAUUGUCCACUGCAUAAAUGGAUAAUUUUUAUCCUUUAUCCACCUUGUGUGCAUCAUUGAAGCGUUUGUUGGCAGGUUUUUUGAAACACUCUCGUCUCGAGAGCUGUGUCGGGGCGACCAAAGUUGCUCGGCCUGCCAAUUUUAUUUUUUGUAUAACAUGUCUAAAUAAAAAUGUCUGAACUAUAAUUUAUUUUUAAAUAAAUACAACUUUCAACAACGGAUCUCUUGGCUCUCGCAUCGAUGAAGAACGCAGC
rnacentral:misc_RNA from 1 species